rnacentral:tRNA from 1 species
GAGGGUAUAAACCAAGUGGUAGAGUGUGUGCUUAGCAUGCAUGAGGUCCUGGGUUCAGGCCCCAGUACCUCCU